AUGCCUCAUGAUUGUUAUGCUUUUCCUCCCCCAGCACCCAGAGAUCCUCUCUGCACCACACCACCUUGUCUGCUGGGAAGUGGGGGAGGAGUGGCCUCAGUGAUUCAGGACUCUCCUUUCUGCCUCUUCAGAAUGUCUUUCAGCGAUAUGAAGUUAAAACCAGUACACUGUCAGGAACAUGGAUGUAAUGGCUGGAUACCAAUAUUCAUCUUGGGCCACGAAGACACAUACCUUAGGAAUGGCAGAGUAUACACUGAGAAGGAAUCUGGGUCCCUGAAGAUUUCAUGGUGAUGCCAUGCUAGCUCUGGACUGCUUACUUCUGAAAUUCUAUCUUACUUAAGCCACCCUUAUUUUGUGUCUAUGCUCAUAGAGGAAAUAGGGUUUUUUCUGAGGCAAUAGUUUUGAGGAGGGAGAGGAUGAGUUUGAUUUUGGGCAUGUGAAUAUGAAGUAUUGGCAGGUUAUUCAGGUAGACAUGUAGAAGAGUUAGAGUUAUGGAGAGAUGACAACUUUCUCUGCUUCUGCCUUCCUGCUGUCUGGUGUUAUUGAAAUCCAGAAGAAAUAGAGUUAGCUCUACAGAGUUCACUCUGGGAAAUGUUUGCCUACAUUAGAAGGCCAAUAGCUUUCUAACAGGUGUCUUCACUUCCAGUCCUUGCUUUUUGAAACUACUUUAUACAUUGUCACUCCUUAAAACCAGUUUGACCUGUGACUACUGACUAGAGUCUGACUUUUUUAUGCUGACACUCAAGGACUUCCACAAUCUGGUUUGAAUCUACUUUCCCAGUUUGUUUAUUCACUGUGUUUUCUCAGGCACCUGUGCUUUACUCAGACUGAUGUACUCUCUCUGUCCUAUUUAUGCUCCACAAUUUUCUCUUUGAUGCUUUUGCACAUACUCAGGAUCAUCGCCAGCCCAUAUGGAUUCUUGGCACAAAAUAGAAAAAGGUGUCUCUUCCUCAAAAUGCUUUACUUCCAUCUGUCUGAAAACUGUUGUAAUACACUGAUUGUUAGGAAAUGUCAUUCUCCUGCCACCUACUAGAAAAUUUUUGUAAAAAAUAUUCAAAUUAUCUAUCUUUGAAAUAACAAAAAAGUUAUUACCAUGAAAAUUUUGGCCAGGUGUGGUGGCUUAUGCCUGUAUUCUCGGCAUUUUGGGAAGCUGAGGCAGGAGAAUUGCUUGAGGCCAGGAGCUCAAGGCCAGCCUGGGCAAUAUAGUGAGACUCAUUCUCUACAAAAUAUAAAACAAAAUUGGCUAGGCAAGGUGGCACAUGCCUGUAGUCAUAGCUACCUGGAAGGCUGAGGUGGGAGAAUUGCUUGAGCCCAGAAGGUUGAGGCUACAGUGAGCUGAGGUCAUGCCACUGCACUCCAGCCUAGGCAACAGAGAAAGACCAUAUCUCAGAAAACCCCAAAUACACAUCUAAAAUAUAAAAAAUUUCAAAAUGUCCACAAUGUGAACAGUGUCCCCUUAGGUGUGGCAUUCUUCUGCAGCACACAAACUGGAGAAUCAUGAGUGGAGUCCUGCUCAUGCUGUUCCCUCCACGUGAAACUCACACUCACUAUCAUCUUUAUGUGUCCAGGGACUACUUGAGUGCUGCUUUUACAAAGCUUUGCUUGAUUUUUCAAGAUGAAAACAAUCUCUUCUCAUCCUGAAAAUUCAGUACAGUUAUCUGCACCUCUCUCAGGGUAUUUAUCACUUUCUAAUAGUAUUCUGUUUAUUUAUGUGCAUGUAUUAUCACUCUACUGUGCUAAAUUCUCUUUGAGAACAGAAUAGAUUGACAAUUUACUUUUGUAGCUUCACACUAUUUGGAGACUAUUAUACCUAGGAUUACCAUAUGUCUCAGUUUGUCCAGAACAAUCUGAAUUUAUGCCUGUUGUGCUGACAUAAGCAUUAACAGUGCCUCCUUUCAUGCUCAAAAAUACCAAUUGGAAGAAUAAAUUGUAUUGUCAACUCUACUUAUAUGGUAUGCGCUCAGUGAAUAAUCGAUGGAUGUAUACCUGAGUGAAUGAGAGGAAUUAGGUAGUCAUCCAUGUUGAGAAGGUAAUUGAAUAUGUGAAAUGAUCACCUAAAGUAGCUGUCCCAAAUAUCUAAUUCAACUCACAGCAACAAAAAUUUAUCCUCCCUCAAAAGACACAGUGAAUACAUGCAUUAAAAGAGAGAGUAGAAAGGAUGAGGGCUAAGGACAGGACCUGUGGAGAGUGCUUACAUUUGAGGGAUAGAAAGAGGAAGAGGAGCCAACAAAGGAAACAAACUGGAAGCAGUCAAAGAGGCAGGAGAAAAAUUAGCCUGGCCCAGGUGCAGUGGCUCAUCCCUGUAAUCCCGACACUGAGGGAGGCCACGGCGGGCAGAUUACUUCAGACCAGGAUUUUGAGACCAGCCUGUGCAACAUGGCAAGACCUGUCUCUACAAAAAUAAAUUAAAAAAAAUAAUAAUCAGGGUAAUUCCAUGGAAGCUAUGGAGAGAGUUUUAAAAGGGAUAAGGUGGUCACCAUUGGUAAAAGCCUCAGUGAGGUCAAGCACGGUGAAUUCUAAACAAAACAAAACAAAAAACAAACAAACAAAAACAAACAAACAAACAAAAACCAUUGAAUCUGCCAGUGGUUAUGUCAUUGCUGACUUUCAAGGCAGCAGUUUGAAUAGAGUGUCAUAGAGUGGCGGGUGGAAACUAGGUUGCAAAGGGUUAGGAAGUGACCUAAUGCUGAGAAAAGAGUCAGUGAGAAAUCUGGCUUGUGUAAAGAAGGUGAGAAAUAGGAUGGCAACUUGGGUCAAAAGUAAGGAGAGCUCUGAACAUGGACCUUGGGGAAGAAGCCACUAAAAAUAGAUAAUGGAACAAGUUAUCUCAGAAGCGAAGAAGGGUUGGGAUCAAGUAUCCAAGUAGAGGACAUGCCCGAGAUACAGUGCUGUUUUUGUUUUUGUUUUUUUGUUUGUUUGUUUUUGAGACAGAAGGGUUGUGGUAGAGUUCAGGCAGAAGUGUCAUGCAUUAUGCAGUUUGAAGAAGGAAGGGGAAUGAGGGAGCCUACGUGGCCAGAGUCUUUGCAGUGAAGUAGGUGGUGAGGUCAUAUGUGAGAAGAGGGACAGCUGGAGUAGGACUGGGGGCUUGAGAGCAGGGGAAACAGUUUGGAUUUAGAACAACUGUUCUAAGAAAUUCCCGAGGGAGUCAACAAGAAGCCUGCCAAGCUGCAGUGCAAGCCCAGCUGAGGUUCAACUUCCCAUACUGAAUGAGAUAGUUAUUUCCACAGAAUCCAUAGAAAAUGUAUUUCUCAAGCUUAUUAUCAAAGAUGUUUUUCCUCCACCAGGAAGAGAAUAAAGGAACACACAUUGGCAAUUUACCAUGUGGUGGAGAGUUACGAGCAUUUAGUCUCUCCCAAAAGACUUGUUGCUCGGUCAUCCAGAAGCCUUACAGCAUUCUUAGUGAAGAUGAAUGCUUCAUACAGGUUGUUUGUGGUACGUUAAAAACAUAGACCUAAAACCAAGGAUGUUCUAUUUUCAGAGCUUGUCUGGGAUGUACCUUGAGUUUCUAUGCCCAGUUCAGAGCAAAGGCAAACACUGACAUUUCUGUGAGACAGAGCAUAAAGUUGCAAAUAGCCUCUGUGAUAAAACUUGAUUUAACCAGGCAAAACCUUUAAGCUUACAAGCAGCCUGUAAAAUCCACCAAAGGCCAAAUGUCAGGCAUUGCCCUUUAAAGCCCAAGUAAAU
rnacentral:lncRNA from 1 species